UAUAUAAUGUAAGGUUUUUUGUGUUUUUCUUCUCUGUCAUCCCCUUCAUGAUUUCAUAAGCAUUAGUGAUAAUGUUUUGGGUUUUUUUCCCCCCUUCUUUUGACAACACAGCAUUCAAGUUCAGAAAUCUAUGAACCAAAAGCCUAAUUUCUACCUAAUUUGCUGUACAGGCUCACAUUCUACCUCUGGCAGUCCCAGGGGAAAUAAGGUGAUUGCUUUUGGUGCCUCUUUCCUAUGUCCUUAGGGAAAUUUUACUGUAAUAUUUUUAACUUGGUUUUCAUUUCGGGCAUAGGGAAUUAUUUGGGUCUGAGUUAUUCAUAUGCCUGUUCCAGUUUGUUGAUUUUUCAUCUAAAGUCUUGAAAUUAUUUUUCUUGGGUUUAGGGGACUUCGUGGCAUUUUAUUCAUUUCUUUUUCAUUAUUUUUGUUUGUUCUUUUAAACAUUAUUUCAGAAAGCUUUAGAAAACUUAUCCAAGAGGGAGAUUUCCUUUGCCUAGUGGGUUGUCUUUUUUUUAUAAGAUAAAGACUGCUUUUCUGUUUUUUAGUACCUUUAUAAACUUCAUAGCUUUCCUUUCAUAAUGGUGUUCGCCUGGAUUACAGUAAUAGGCUGACCCCCUUGUUUCAGUUCCCCUGAAGUUGUGUGCCAGUAAUGUACCUGACAUCAUGUAUUUUCCUCUCUUCUGAUGCUUAAAAUAAUAUUCAUCCUCCUGAGCUUUAUUCUCACCUGCUUAGCAUUAAGAACACUGGUCUGAGAACUAGGAGACCUGAGUUCUAAUCCUGGCUUUGCUGGUAACUAGCUUUAUGCCCUUUGACAAGUGUCUUCAUGUUUCUGUUUUAUAGUAUUUUCAUCUGUAAAAUGAAGGCAUUAGCCCAAGGUUCCAUCCGGUUCUGUGGUUCUAUAGUUGCAAUCUUGAUUCCAAAAGAAUUGAUUUCUCUCCCCCGCCACCUGGAAAAUUGGUUUCCCUGAGUUUAGCAUAGAUAUUUUCUUUCCUAAGUCAUAUUUACCUUAUUUUUGUUCACGAAAAUAUCUGGGUCUCAGUUAUUGUAGAAGCUAACCUUGUGAAGAAAUUAGUGCUUUUGUGAUUAGAAACAUAUUUGUCCAAGAACAAAGGGUCUUAGAAAUCACAAUGAGGGUUUAGAUGAUGGCAUUGUUCCUUGAGCUGAUAGUAGAGUAAUUUCUUAUUGGCAGUUAAAAAUCUGAAGUGAGCCAAAGCAAUCUUGGAUCUUUAAGAAAAGAAAACUGUGGUAGAAAAUUCUAAACCUUUGUUUCAUUCAUGCCUUCAAAAGAAUGUGUACUGAACAACAGCUAUACUCCAGAUUUUGUUCUAGGCAUUGGGAAGCAAAUGAAAUAGACUUAAAAAUCCUUGUCUUCUUGAAGCUUAUAUUUUAGUAGAAGGAGUCAGGCAAUAAAAAUAACUUAUGUUAGAGAGUUGUUAGUUGUAUGAAGAAAGUUUAGAACACGGUAAGGGAAAUGUUUUGAUUGUUUUUGGGUUAAGAAGAGUGUCUGAGUGAUCAGGGUCAGCCUUAUUGAGAUUACAUUUGUGCAAACACUUCUUCUUUCUUCCUCUCUUUUUCUUUCUCUUCCUUCCUUCCUUUACUUUUUAUUUAUUUAUACUUUAUAUAUGCUUGAAUAUGUAGCAUCUAAUGAACUGUCCUGUACCCCUCACCAAGCUUCUAUAUUUUAAGACAUUACUUUAAGCAAGGACAAGAAAUGUAAAAGGACAAUCACUCAUGGGUGUUGGCAAAGAAUUUCUUUCAAUGUAUACUCAUACCCCUUUAUAAAUAUAAAAAUAUUAAGCCCCUUACUUAUUUAAUUUUAGAAUUCAUAGAAAUUUACACAUUGGAUCUAAGAACAAAACAGAGCAAUGGAAAAAAGCACUUCCUUGUUUUCAAAUUGCACAAACUCCCCCUGGAGAUUCUGAUACAGUCUCUCACCUCCCUUAAGAAUCACUGCAAACAAAACAAAGUAGAGGAUUGCAAGAAGUCCCUUACAUACAAGACAAUGUUAAGCACAAUGGAAUUAUUUUCUCUUUAUCCAUAUAUUUCUGAAGUGGGUAAAGCAGCUAUUUCCCCUAUUUCUCAGAAGGCUGAGACCCGAAAACACUAGGUUUACUCAUAGUGGCAGAGCUAGAACUAAAACUCAAAUCUCCUAACCACAGCCCAGUCUUUCUGGUAGCUCAGGUUGCUUUCUCUAAUGAACAAGAAAGAAAUAAUUAGAUAUUUCUAUUUUGGCACAAAAGGAUAAGGUAUUUUUAAAAUAUAUCAAAUAGCGAAACCAGAAAAUCAGUCAGCCCUAGCAAAUUUUUAUUUAUUAAUUAUGAAAAAUCCCCAGUCAGACAAUUUAGUGUUGAUUCUAGCCAAGAUAUAUUUUUUUGUAUCUGUGUGUGUGUUAUUCUCCUAGGAAGUGGUGCUCUCGAAACCUCUCAAAGCACAUAGAAUUUACUGUACCCUUUAUAUUUUUACCAAGUUGAAAUGUUUUGAAAUUAUAAAAGCAAAAUGCAGGCUAGUCAUGGCUGAAAUUUUCCUAAUACAGGAUCUGGAUUUUAUUUUAUUUCCUUACUUGUGGUUACUGCCCUUCAUUUUCUUCUUGUAGUAGAAUUCCCUGAAGCAUAUUAAGUGAUAAUUGUACUGAAUUUCAUUGAGGAAAAGGGAAAAGCAUCCAGUCUGAUUUAAUCUGUCAAUUUGUGGAGCUUUCUUUAGCAUUCUUCUACAAAUUUAAUCUCUGACCUGUGAGACUUCAAAACUUCCUAUCUCUUAAAAGGGGUUUGAACUCUGUUGAAAAUCUUGUACUUAGUUAUCCCUUGUAAUCAGCCUGAUACAUAGAGAACAUUCUGGACUGAAAAUAUAUAGUAAGGUGCCAAGGUCAGCAAACUUGGCUACUGCCAGUGAUUCAGAACCACCUCCCUACCCUAAGUGAGUAAAAAGAUUUGAUAUGAAUAUGAAUGGUAUGAAUCUCCUGGUGAUAUUUUGGAUGUAUAUGUUCUGUGUGUGUUUGAAGAGUAUAAAGGGUAUUUACGGAGGGCUCUUUUGUUGACCUUAUUUAUUUGAAAAUCUUAUUUUAUUUGUAAUUGCAUGUGUAUAUUUUUGUGAUGCUAAAUGCAAUCUCUGUGUAUACUUUUUUGUAUAUAUGUACAUAUUUGUAAAUAUAUUGUUAUGUAAUGAUGCAGUAUGUGUAUAUUAUAUACCCAUACCCAUUGUGGGCUGAAUUUAUUUAAGUUCUGUAAGGACAUCAUAGUGGCAUUGUUCAUGCUGCUGUAAUUAGGUUGUGGCUGUAUCUCAUUCAUGAGCCUCUAUUUUGAGGGGCUUGUGUUUGGGUAAAAUUGGCUAUUUUGGAGUUGGAAUUAGGAUGAAAAUCUUAACAGAAAGCAAGAUGUUCUUAGCUUUAAAAUCGCCUGCCAAUUUCCAUUUAAAUGGAUGAUAAAUUAGUGAUAUAAACCUGAAAGACCUUAUUGUGUGAAACUGAGACACCAGCAGGUUCUUAAGCUAUAUUAGUCCUUUAUUUUCUUGACCCAUAGUUGGGGAUUAUUACUGAGUAGUAUUUAUAUUGAGAAUUAAGGGGCUGUGGAAAAAAUUACUUUGAUCACAUUUCAAAAUAGAUAGGAAAAUGUCCUUUAAAUAGAGAAAUUUGUUUGUAGUUGCAAUGUCAAUACCUGAUACUAAAUUUUAAUUUGAGAAAAGUGUUUUCACUGAUGUGUCUCAUUUUAUAUCUGUCUCUGUGAGGCAGAAAACGGGGCAUUAGCUAGGGGAAGGCUGUACCUAGGUGGGGUGGGAUUUAAUAAGGAACAGGAGAUUAUUAAUAGUAUAUUUGCAGCAGCAGCUGUGAUUAAUUUAGUCGUCUCAGCAUUUCAGACUAUAGGUUUUUUUUUUAUUGGAGUUGCAUAUCAAAGAUGAGUAGGCUCAUCUGAGAAAAUGGUUCCAGUGAAUAAAAUGCCUCCAGUUGUAUUUCUUUGUCUCUAUGAGACCACUUGUGUUCUGCAAAUUGAUAAUAUUCACACAUGAAAUAGCAAUUCUUAAUAUUUAGGUGCAUGGCAUGCUAUAAAAUCUGGGCCUCCAAACUUCUACCAUAGAUGAUGGGUGGGGGAGGAUAUCCUCUUAGAGGAUAGUAAAUAUGUGCAGUGCCAAUGUGUGAACAUGGAAUAUCACAGAGUAUCAAUGUUCAGUCUCUCCUAUCUUCACCUGGCAUGUGUAUUUGCAUGGACGAGUGUAGGAGAUCUUUAGUAUACACUUGAAUACAUUCACCUCAAAAAUUACAUAGAGGUCAUUUCUGCAUGAUGAAAUAUAAUUGCAAAACAACUGUUUACCCCAUUAUUUUUCAGAUGAUUACAUCUGAGUGAUACAAUAUUAAAUUAUCGUAAAUAGAGGUGUUUGAGUCAGAAGUCGCUUUUACCACCCAACAAAUGUCAUGUUUGCCGCUUCAUUUUAUUUUUAAUAAGGAGCCAACUAUUCAUAACACCUCUCAAUUACUAUUAAAUUUAAAAUAAAGUUAUAAUGGCCUUUUUUAAUAUUAAAAUUUGGUAAUGUACUAUUUCUGAAAAAUCAGUGAAAAUGUGACAUUCUUUUGUUAUUGUAACUAAAUCACUUACUGC
rnacentral:lncRNA from 1 species